rnacentral:lncRNA from 1 species
UCCACUUUGUCCAAUUGAUUGAAGUGAGGCCAUUUUAUUAAUGUAAAUGGCUAUAAUAUUUAAUUGGACUUUUUCAUUUUCUUUUCUUAAUUUUUCAGCCCAACAAACACCCUUAUACUGCAGCCUAACAACUACAACAUCCCUUCUCUUCUCCUUAACCCAUCAACUCGACUUCAACAUCAACACAGCAACGAUAAAACAACAACAAACAACGUUUCAACAUUAGCAAAUAACUGAUACAACACAACUUUCAGCCAAACCAACGAUAAAAAACAACCAAGGACAACAAUACCCGACCCGACGACAACACAACAAACGGUGAAACCCGCGACCCGACCAAACGGACCCAAUUCCAGCGAACCAACUUCAACCCGACAACAAUACCCGACCCGACGACAACACAACAAAUUCAACCAAACAAACCCCUUAAAUCACGGAAAACAUCUCUCUCCAUCUUAUCUCUGUAAUUUUGCAGACCUAAAGCCAUUGUUGUUGACUUUUGGCUCAAGAUUGUGUGUCUUCAAUUCCAAAAUUCAAUCCAAAUCAGAAAGUGUCAAUUCAAAUCUGAAAAUUAGGAAUAAUUCUCUAUUUUAAAGGGCUUAAGUCAUCGACAGGCCCUCAAACUUGUUUUGAAAAUUCACUUAAAUCCUUCAACUAAGGCUUGUAAUCAGGCCCCUAACCCACCCGAAUUUUGAUCCAAUUGGACCUUUUUGUUCCAAUCAGCUAAAAUCUUAAGUGUGUGUAAUACACACAUAAUGAUGUGGCAAAAAGGGUUAAUUGAAAGUUGACACGUGACAUUAUGGGUCCAAUAAUUAUUAAAAACUAAUUAUAAAUUUUUUUAAAAAAUAAAAAUAAAAAUUGAUUCCUUCAACCCUCACCCCACCNNNNNNNNNNNNNNNNNNNNNNNNNNNNNNNNNNNNNNNNNNNNNNNNNNNNNNNNNNNNNNNNNNNNNNNNNNNNNNNNNNNNNNNNNNNNNNNNNNNNNNAUUCUGUAAGAAGCAGAACUUUAAAAGAAAAAAAAAAAUUAAGUUCUCCAUUUUCUGCAAAAAGCUGAACUUUAAAAAAAAAAAACAGUUCUCAUGAUACUUUCUCCAUUAAGGAUACCAAUUUCUUCAUUUUUUUUGUAAGAAAAUGAUUCCCCAUUAUAUUGGAUUUGAGUUAUUUAAGUUCACAAACAUGUAAUUUCGAACAAUCUUGAAAUUUCGAAGUUGAUUUUUCGGUGAGUCUCGCCUAAAAAUGCAUUCGAAUACGGUUAAAGAAUACGAUGACUGAGGUUGUGGUUUGCAAAGGAAGACGAUGAUGAUGGAGGGUUGUGAAGAAGACGAUGAAUGGGGGCAGCGGGUUGCGAAAAAGACGAUGAAAGGGGGUAGGUGGGAGAAGAAGACGAUGAAAAAGGAGGGUGGGGGGGUUUCUUUUCUUUUUUUAAAUAAAAAACUUAUAAUAAUUAAAAAUUAUAUUAAUAAAAUGAUUUAAAUAUAAGUUUUUAAAUUAAAAAAAAAAAGUAAAACAUUAUUUAAUCUACUGUUCACGCGUCCAAGGAGAGUGUAAAUCAACAUUUUGUGUCUGAUAUGUACCAAUUUUAGCAGUUGAGGGGCUUGAUUGGUACAGACCUUAGUUGAGGGAUCUAAGUGAAUUUUCGGGACAAGUUUAAGGGUCUGUAGAUGACUUAAGCCAUUUUACAAAUGGAAAAUCAAUAUUUUCCCCCUAUAAAAAUAUAUUGAGGGGAAGAAGGCAAAGGAGGACUUUUUUGGGAAAAAAAUUAAAGGUUUUGAAGGCGUGUACCUUUAACCUUACGUAACCAAAAAGUCUGAAAAGAAAGGCUCGACAAGUCAGAAUUUUAACUCCAAUAGUGAAUUCGUCGUCGACUCGUUGUUCUCAUUCGCUGCCCGGAAAAAGGCGAACACAUCUUCCUUUUCUUUUCUUUUAGUUGAUCAUUCUUCAUCGUCUUCGUUAAAGACUUCUUCCUAAUCGUAAUUGCUGGGACUGUUUGUUGUAGAAAUCCAGAAUUUUAUUGUGUUUUUCUUGUUGUUUCGAUAAUUAAAACUUCACUGUGAUUGAGAAUGAAAUGGUGUCUACUGUGUGAUUUGAGUUUGGUUGAAUUAAGGUCCUUUAAGUUGUGGUUUGUCAGAUUACUUAGGUUAAGUGUUUCCUCUUGACAAAAAUAUAUUUGAAGGUGGUUUUUAUAUUGUUGUACAUAUUCUAUUCGCCCUUUUGAUCAUAGUUGCAGGUCUGCUCUUUGGUGCUGCUCAUAUCCAUUUUAGUUUUAUGUCGGCCACUAUCAACCUUUGAAUAGUCAGUUUUCAGCAUGUUAUUAGUUUGAAAUUGCCUUGAUUGUUAUUUUUGUUUGAGUUCAUAUCUGGAUUUAUUUAAGUUUUGCUUGUAUUUCUCUGGAAAAUUCAUGUUUCGAGAAGUGUAUGUAAUUAAGGUUAAUCUUCUUCUCGUUGAUUUUUCUUUAGCUUAAUUACGAAGAAUAGACUAUGUGUGCAUACUGCUUCUCUGUCGAAAAUGCAUAUUUGUACGUGUUACUUUUGUUAGUAUUAGUUUUGAGUUAUAAUUCUCUCAACUCUCAUUUUAAUUAUUGAAAAUUUUCUUAUUUAAACUACUAUAUAAGAAGUUGAGAUCAAGUACAACUUUACCAUAUAAAAACUUGGCUUAUUUUACUGGAGUUAGAAUUCGGAAAUUUAGAGACCAAAAAUUACUUAGAUCUAGCUAGGAUCUGAUGGUUUAGAAUAAAAGGAUUUGGUUACAUAUGUAUAUAAAAUGAACCCUGUGUUUCUCUAUUGGAUCCUAUAGUAAUGAAUACAUACAUAUGUGUGCUCUGUCUUGUUUUUGUAAUGAAUAAUAAACUCUACUUACAACUACAGGUAUUAGUUAUUGAUUGUGAGUUUUAUUCUCAACCCCUUCUAUUUCUACUUUUUCUUGUUAGUUUAGUAUUGAUUCAAGUCAUAUCCUUGUAGUUAUUCAUGUUUUCUUAUCCUGUAUUUAUAUAAUUUAUUGUUGUAUGUCAAACCUACAAUUAUAAAAGUUUAUUAUUGCUUUACAUAUUAUUAUUUUCUUAAAUUCAAAUGUGAUUAAGAAUACUCGUGCAAUGCACGUAAGUAUAAACUAGUAUAUAAAAUAAAGAAGACUAUAAAGUUGUUCCUCGUCCGUCGCAAUUAGUUAUGUGUUGUUCGCCUACUUUGUGAAUACUACAACUCACAUCAUAUGAAUUUGAGGUCUUGUUUGAUGUGAUUAGUGUGUUUCGAAUCAAUCACUAAUUCUCAUAUUUUUCUUGAUGCAUGUGACGUUGACUUGAAUCCCAACGAACUCCAUUCCCUGCAUUUCUCAAUGGGCCAAGGAGGCCUACAUCUUCUACGAGUCCCAAAUGCCUUUAUUUUUGAAGAAACAAGGCUAGUAUACACUGAUAUACACCUAAAUACGCGGGUUACAGGUCAAAGGUGGUUGAUAUACGAUGCAUGCUGAAGCUGGGAGCGAGUAUACAUGAUUUUAUAUGCUGAUAUACAGUGUAUAUACAGAAAAUCGCAAGGAAAGGAGGCAGAGAUAUACACAAAGUAUACACUGCAGAGAAAUGGACUGAAGUCCAUAAUUCAAAGCCCAAAGCUGGGCAGCCUUAUUAAUGGGUCAAUUCCUAUUCUUGUAUUAUUUUUUUGCUAAAAAUGACACAAAUACAUAACUUAUGUUUUCAAUAUUACAAAAAAUCUCAACUCCCUAAACAUAUUACAAAAAUCUCACAUAUACUCAUAAUGCUAUGUACAUGUCGGCUAUGUUAUGUAUAUUAAUAGGGAGAGAGAGUAAACUAAUUAAAAAGGUGAGAGAGAGUGUAAUUACUUUUAAAAGAUUGGUAUUUAUGUUAUUUAUGCUUUUUUGUGGCUUAAAAUACAUCUUUGUUUAUGUGUACUAACUUUUUAACCAAUUAACCUAGACAAUUCCCUAAAGUGUUGUCAUUUUAUUUUAUCUUGAUUUUCUUUUACUUAAUUUAUAAUUUC